GACAGAGGUGCCGAGCGUUAGGCGGAAUCACUGGGCUUAAAGCGUGUGUAGGCGGAUGGGUAAGUACCUUGUGAAAUCCCACGGCUCAACCGUGGAACUGCUCGGUAUACUGCUCGUCUUGAGCCAACUAGGGGCGACCGGAACAAACGGUGGAGCGGUGAAAUGCGUAGAUAUCGUUUGGAACGCCGAUGGUGAAAACAGGUCGCUGGGGUUGUGCUGACGCUGAGACACGAAAGCGUGGGUAGCAAACAGG
rnacentral:rRNA from 1 species